rnacentral:tRNA from 1 species
CGCUAAAAAGCUAAAUAGGAGUAGCGCUAGCCUUUUAAGCUAGAAGUUGGUGGCUACCGACCACCUUUAGCGA